rnacentral:lncRNA from 1 species
UGCAAAGAUGGUUGAUGGGUGUGAAAUGUAACCAUCCCCCAGCCAGCCCCAGUGUCACUGGCAGUGGUUGGUUCAGAGGCAGCCAUGAAGGGAUCAGCGACGGCAGUGACAUGAGUCGCCAGCUACCUCAGCACCAAAUAAGUGAAGAUUUUUUUUUCAAUGAAAUAACAUUUGCAUGUAAGAACUCAGGUAUCCAAGCAGAUGCUGCUCCACAGCCUCAUCCAUGAGAUCCAGGCCCCAAUCCGUGGCUGCUAAGUCGCAUACAGCGCAUGGCUCAAAGCAGAC